rnacentral:lncRNA from 1 species
ACUCCUUCUGACUUAGACCACAGGGCUUGUUCAAACUCCCCUUGUAGUAGACUUUGUCGUUUGUUAGUUAUUAAAAUGAUCUAAAUUUAAAUAAAUCUAUAAUAAAUGAUUUGAUAUUAUCUGAAAUUUUUGAAUACAUAAGAACUAAGCAGCAUUAAAACAUUUAAAUCCUAACAUUAGAACUACUCUACAUAAAAAAUAAACAACAUUAUAUAGCAGCAAUGGACUGCUUGGUGCUUUGAUGGCUUUGUAUCUGUGUGAAAGCUAUUUUGAAUAAAACAAACAUAAAGGGUUUUCACCUAAGUUCUCAACUUGAAAUAAACCACUUCACCUCCCACUGGCCAAAAGCAGAUUACAAAUGCUGACACACUGAGCAUUUGAUAGCAUCUCUUUCUGCUAUCACGCAGAUGUGUUAGCUCUAACUGUUUUUAAAUGAGGAAAAGAAAUCUCAAAACAGUCAAUAUUCAGAUUAAGUUGGAAAAAAGUUUCUUGGGAAGAGUUUACAAUUUUUAGGGCUCUGGCUAGAUUGAUUUAAUUCUGCACAUAUUAUACUUAUGUAUUCUUUAUUUUGUAGGAGUUUCUUGAGAGGUGGGAUAUAUGGCUAUAUUUUCAUUUUUGCAUUCUGAUAUUCUUCAAGUAGAGAAAUUACUGUU